rnacentral:lncRNA from 1 species
GACAUAUAAUUGGAUGAACGCUCAGUUUCAAACCACAAUAUUUUUACUUCUCUUUAAAAAUGAAACGCAAUAUGCUUAAUUCAUGUUGAAACUAUGGACAAAUUAGAGCAUUCAUUAAGGAAGGAGAUCAAUCAUUUGACACUGCCCAGAAUAGGAAGCCGGUCAACCCAAUAGCAACAAGGAAGCGGACAGCCCACAUGAUAUGAUCUUCAUGGGCCAAAUCACAAUCUUUGAAGAUGACUGAGUGAAUACAGAAAUGAAGGUACAUAAAACAGUCAACUUACUACCUUAAUGCAUAUGUGCCAUAUGUUUCCUGUGCGGUUCUUCUGUGGAUCCAAUGCUAAUUCAAUCACUCCAUCAUGAAUACUGUCAGGCAUUCCCAUAAAAUGUAUAUUGACUCAGCAUGCUUUAUGCAGAUGUACAUAUGAAAUACAAGAAAAAAUGAGUACGACCUCACCAAGGAUAGUAUUCGCCCUGGCA